rnacentral:rRNA from 1 species
CCUACGGGCGGCUGCAGUAAGGAAUAUUGGUCAAUGGACGAAAGUCUGAACCAGCCAUGCCGCGUGGAGGAUGAAGGUCCUCUGGAUUGUAAACUUCUUUUAUAUGGGACGAAAAAAGACCUUUCUAGGCCGUCUGACGGUACCAUAUGAAUAAGCACCGGCUAACUCCGUGCCAGCAGCCGCGGUAAUACACAGGGUGCAAGCGUUAUCCGGAUUAACGGGGUUUAAGGGGUGCGUAGGUGGCUGUGGUGAAAUCUCCUAGCUUAACUUGGAAACUGCCAUUGAUACUAUUAAUCUUGAAUAUUGUGGAGGUUAGCGGAAUAUGUCAUGUAGCGGUGAAAUGCUUAGAUAUGACAUAGAACACCAAUUGCGAAGGCAGCUGGCUACACAUAUAUUGACACUGAGGCACGAAAGCGUGGGGAUCAAACAGGAUUAGAUACCCCUGUAGUC